UACGGAGGGGGUUAGCGUUGUUCGGAAUUACUGGGCGUAAAGCGCGCGUAGGCGGAUUAGAAAGUUGGGGGUGAAAUCCCGGGGCUCAACCUCGGAACUGCCUCCAAAACUGCUAGUCUAGAGUUCGAGAGAGGUGAGUGGAAUUCCGAGCGUAGAGGUGAAAUUCGUAGAUAUUCGGAGGAACACCAGUGGCGAAGGCGGCUCACUGGCUCGAUACUGACGCUGAGGUGCGAAGGUGUGGGGAGCAAACAGC
rnacentral:rRNA from 1 species